GGCGUACAAGUCACGUGAAGGUGCAGGCGCCGUCAGUAGCGGCGAGCCCCUUCAGCGGCUCCCGGCGCAGGGCAAGGACGCUGCGGUGCGUAUGGGCUGGCGGGGCGGCACCGCUCCCGGCGUGCUCUGCGCGAGGUUCCCCCUCCUCCAGCUCCGUGGCGUGAAGCAUACUGGGAGUCGUAGUCAGCGGGGUGGAGGCGUCCUUGUGGCCCUCUGCGCUCGAGGGGCUGCUCCAACGGUUCUAACAGCUCUAGCUGCUCUCGCUUGCCGGGUGCUCGUCUUGUGGCACCGCAGGGUCCCGGCUCGCUCGCUGUGGGAGGGCGCAGGGGGUGACGGGAGCCAGCAGCAGUACCUGCCGUCCACAGGGAGUCCUGGGAGCUCACCUCCCUGCCCUGAGGGAGCACAGGGGUGGUGUUAAGCAGUACUCACCUGCGUCCCUGCCCUGGAGCCUCCUUUUGCUUGUCCUUCACGCAGGACUUCCAUCACCCUUUACUGGUAUUUUUCUUCAUUGUCUCCCUCACCAAAACAUUCCACACAUUUCGGAUAUGAAUUGAAUGCAGGGGAAGGGGAAGAGAAGAUGGUAUCACUUGCACGUUGCCUGUGACCUGAAUUGCAUGGCAGAGCAACUUAAUCUUAAGUGGCUAUAGAUGGAGUUCAAGGUGACUAUGCUAAUUUUAGGCAUCUCAGUAAAUACCCCAAGCAACUGAUGCUCUUCCAAAGCAGCCAACAUCCUCCAUGACAAAGCUGUAUCAUCAUUUCACAGUCUAAUGUUUUUUCACCACUAACUAAUAUAAUGUCACAGUAUGAUAGCACAUACACUGCAAAGAUACAUUUUUUCCCAGUUCUGUGCUUGUGGUCAAACAUUGCUGAAGAAUGUAGAGGCUUUUUUUCCCCCAUCUUAACGCCACCAAACUAAAGACAGAACCAGGUGGGAAAGCAAUAAAAACAGACAUAUUCGCUUCAAAAAAUGAAGAUGUAGCUAUUGUGUACCAUGCAACAUAAAUGUGCCAACAAGACAAGAAGUGGAGAUACAGGAUGCAAAAUAAAAUUCAAUGACAAGUGCA